UACAAGCGGUUCACAUUCCCAUCUCAAGCCAUAAAUCAAAAGGAUUAUUGAUCUCCCAGCACAUUCACUGAUAAAAGGAAAUACCAGCAACUCCAUGCAUCUGAGCAUACAACUUAUAUGGACUUCUAGCAAGUGAUCCCCUGGACUUAAAAACAUGUCUGAAUCCUGGCUGGGACAGUUUGGCUUUAAGUAGUACAUCAAAUUCAGAUCUUUUCAGGAAGGAAACUUCUGCCAUCAGUUGGCCAAUGCUGUUCCAUCAGUGAGUGUUCAGUGUCACUAACCAACAGAAUGACCAAGAAAUCAUUCCAGUCAGAAAAGGCCCAAGUACCAAUGAUUGGACAGUCGUGAUUUAUAUUUGUGCCUAAUAUGACCAACAUAAGUCACACUGGUUAUGCAUGGAAAUGCAACCAUCAGCUGACAAGAACUGAAACUUAUGACUCAUGCUGUGUCAACUCUGAGCCAAAGCAGUCAGUCAACUCAAAGGGAGUAAACAUCAGUCAAACAGAUGAUUUGGCAGCCUAACUAUUUAACAACUGAUGAUGACUGGAAUUUUCACUUUUCAAUCAGUCACAUAGACAUGGUCUCAGGAAGAGAAAUAACUGAAGUUUAGAGUAGUUUUCUUUUGCUUUUUCAUAAAAGUCAUUCAUCCCAAAACAUUUGCUGAAUGCCUGCUGUGUUCUAGGUACUCUAUUUAGUGCUUGGAAUAUAGAGAUGAAAGACUGAAGUAGUGUUAGAAAUGAAAAAUCAUUGUUUAAAUUCUUUCUCUUCUAAUACGAUUAUCUAUGCUGCUAAGCAAUUUUCUCAGUGAUUAUCAGCCAUCAGCCAUCAAAACCCGGGACCUUCCCCACAGCUCCUCUUUUAACCCUAAUAUUUAACCAAAAAUUGCUCUGCUGUGGCAAAACCUCAAUACAUAUACAUUGCCUUGGUUCC